CUUCACCUUUCCACAUGAGAGUUACACAGGAGCCUUCGGAGGAGUCAAGCUGCUCGUUUCCAGAGAGCCGGGAUUUUCAGUCUCUCUGAAGGAACAAUGCUUGGCGGACAACCCAAGAACCUGACAGCCAAUUUUGACAGUACUGGCCAAGAUGACUUCUUAAAGUUCCAGUCUUUUGUUUUCUUCAUGUCACCCAUGAGUGACCAAAGAUUAUCUUCCCCAUAUGAAUUUGUAGAUGGUGAACCUAUAUCACAUCCAUUGGAAACAGGUUUAUCAUCAUCUGAGGAUCAGGACAUUUCAGGUCAUAGAUGAACGUUCUCAAAGACAGCUACUGUUAAAGGCUUCAUGUUGUAGACAUAAUCCUAAAAAAUGAAUGUUCUAUUUUCUUGAUGAAGGAAGCCA